GACGAACGCUGGCGGCGUGCUUAACACAUGCAAGUCGAACGGAAAGGCCCUGCUUUUGUGGGGUGCUCGAGUGGCGAACGGGUGAGUAACACGUGAGUAACCUGCCCUUGACUUUGGGAUAACUUCAGGAAACUGGGGCUAAUACCGGAUAGGAGCUCCUGCUGCAUGGUGGGGGUUGGAAAGUUUCGGCGGUUGGGGAUGGACUCGCGGCUUAUCAGCUUGUUGGUGGGGUAGUGGCUUACCAAGGCUUUGACGGGUAGCCGGCAUGAGAGGGUGACCGGCCACAUUGGGACUGAGAUACGGCCCAGACUCCUACGGGAGGCAGCAGUGGGGAAUAUUGCACAAUGGGCGGAAGCCUGAUGCAGCAACGCCGCGUGCGGGAUGACGGCCUUCGGGUUGUAAACCGCUUUCGCCUGUGACGAAGAGAGAGUGACGGUAAUGGGUAAAGAAGCACCGGCUAACUACGUG
rnacentral:rRNA from 1 species